rnacentral:lncRNA from 1 species
ACACCCUUUUUUUAAACAAACUCUACUAAACCCUCUUAAAUUAAUAAAAAGAUUUUAUAAAACUUGAAAAUGGUUUUCAAUUUUGAAAGUAACAAAAAUUAUGUCUCAAAAGGAUAUAAACUCAUAGUCGCCACCUGACAUUUGAUUUUGGUUUGCCAGGUCACCGUUUUUGUAAAAAAUAUUUAUUUUUCCUUUUAAAACGUUUCAGACUCUAAAACCAAGUCCACACCAGAGGUUCAAGUAAGGGGAUUCAUUUGACUCGGGGAGAAGGUGUUAGGCACUCCCCAAGUCCCGUAACUAGUACAAUUGCGUACUCGAUCAAGUUGGCUUUUAAAAUAUUUAGUUGAGGUAAAAACACAAAACAAAAACAAAAUAAAUACACAAGAGGCUAGAUGUCGUCCCCACCUACAAAGAUAAAAAUAAAUAAAGAAAAUAUUAGAAUUCUAUUCUAUGCUUCCUCACGUCAUUCAAGCUCUGGCCUUCAUUUACAUGUACUUCGGGGCAAUACCCCGGACAAAAUAUAUACAAAUCCUGCGAGGCAUUCCCGGUUAAAUUUAACUAAGGAAAUGACCUUUCGCCUCAAACUAACAAAUAUCCUAAGGCUUGACUACCCAAGUGUCGACGGCCUAGCAUGCUCCUAGCGAAUUAAUUAAAUAAAAUAGACUUAAAGGCAACGAAACCGCAACACGAGGCUAUCAAUUGUUCUUUGUCUUUCAAUUAAUUUGAUUCAUUUCAACUAAUUCAAAAGGAUCACAUAUUGAAUCUUUCUACAAUGUACCGUAUACAUUUUUCAUUUUUUCAGUUAUCUUUCUAAUGAUUCCAGUAUUCAUCCGAACUUAUCAUGGAAUUGAAGUGAUGAACUAACUGAACAAACAAGAGACAAGCUGCAAAUAAUCAACUAGCACAGUGGGAUGAAGUAAAAUGGGUAUAAGAAAGGAACCUCGAUAUUAGAUUUGCAAUUCGAAUGUUAGGAUGAGUUUGACAUUCAUAAGGGGAUAAAAUUGCGACCAAAUCAGCACGGAAAACCCCGCGACAAACUGAUUUUGAACAGCCACACCUCAGUUGAGCUCGAACCAACAACCCAAUUUCGCCAAGGUAAACUUAAUUGCCUUUAAUGUUUGUACUCAAUUUAAACGGAGGUUCUCAUAUUGGAACAAAGCUUGGAGCAAAAUGAUUAAACUCAAAGCCAACGUACAAGGAAAUUGAUUCCAACAAACAGAGACCAAACUCCAACCGUCGACCUCCAACAGGACUUCGCCGGCGACCUCGAAAUCAUCCUUUUCACGUCCAGAUCUGAACAACAAAACCCUCCAAUUCGGGUGGAGAUUGGCUGAUUUGUGUGACUGUGCGGAUUGGUUUUCAAGUGGUUUAUAAACCGGCGACCUCGAAAUCAUCCUUUUCACGUCCAGAUCUGAACAACAAAACCCUCCAAUUCGGGUGGAGAUUGGCUGAUUUGUGUGACUGUGCGGAUUGGUUUUCAGGUGGUUUAUAAACAGGUUUUCAAAUCUGGUUUGCGUUAAUUUUGGACGGCUACCUUUCGUGAAGAAGAAACCUGCUCGGAAUUGAUUCGUGAAGAAGAAAGCUGCUAGGAGUUAGAUUCUUUGAUUUUUUGUCUCUUCUCCUAUCAAAGAAAACGACGGAUCCUAGUUUUUUAGGUGUAAAAAUGUACUGCCAUUUUUAGAAAACGGCGGAUUCAAUGGGCUUUUAAGGUGUAUGUUCCUCCAUUGUUGUUUUCUUGAUAUGGUGAUGAAGGACGUGAUAUAUUAAGCUUAGGAAGAAAGAGUCACGGGUUGUCUUUU